rnacentral:rRNA from 1 species
AGAGCGAACGCUGGCGGCAGGCCUAACACAUGCAAGUCGAACGGAUCCUUCGGGAUUAGUGGCGGACGGGUGAGUAACACGUGGGAACGUGCCUUUUGGUUCGGAAUAACUCAGGGAAACCUGAGCUAAUACCGGAUGUGCCCUUCGGGGGAAAGAUUUAUCGCCAUUAGAGCGGCCCGCGUCUGAUUAGCUUGUUGGUGAGGUAAAGGCUCACCAAGGCUACGAUCAGUAGCUGGUCUGAGAGGAUGAUCAGCCACACUGGGACUGAGACACGGCCCAGACUCCUACGGGAGGCAGCAGUGGGAAUCUUGCGCAAUGGGCGAAAGCCUGACGCAGCCAUGCCGCGUGAAUGAUGAAGGUCUUAGGAUUGUAAAAUUCUUUCACCGGGACGAUAAUGACGGUACCCGGAGAAGAACGCCCGGCUAACUUCGUGCCAGCAGCCGC